UCCUGCCAGUAGUCAUAUGCUUGUCUUAAAGAUUAAGCCAUGCAUGUCUAAGUAUAAGCAUUUAUACAGCGAAACUGCGAAUGGCUCAUUAAAUCAGUUAUAGUUUAUUUGAUAAUACCUUUACUACUUGGAUAACCGUAGUAAUUCUAGAGCUAAUACAUGCUAAAGGGCACAUCGCAAGGUGUGCUGUAUUUAUUAGAUAAAAAACCAAUGCAGGGGGCAACUCCUGGUUAUUGUUGAUUCAUAAUAACUUGUCGAAUCGCAUGGUCUCGUACCGGCGAUGAUUCAUUCAAAUUUCUGCCCUAUCAACUUUCGAUGGUAGUGUAGUGGACUACCAUGGUUGUAACGGGUGACGGAGAAUUAGGGUUCGGUUCCGGAGAGGGCGCCUGAGAGAUGGCGACCACUUCUAAGGAAGGCAGCAGGCGCGCAAAUUACCCAAUGGCAAUACGCCGAGGUAGUGACAAUAAAUAACAAUACAGGACCUGACAAGGUCUUGUAAUUGGAAUGAGUACAAUUUAAAUCCCUUAACGAGGAACAAUUGGAGGGCAAGUCUGGUGCCAGCAGCCGCGGUAAUUCCAGCUCCAAUAGCGUAUAUUAAAGUUGUUGCAGUUAAAAAGCUCGUAGUCGGAUGUUGGGGUGAAUCCGGCCCGGUCUGCCGGGACGGUGUGUACUGGCCGGUUCACCCUUCCUUCUGGUUAUUGCUUCCUUCUGCUCUUAACUGAGUGGGAGGAUAAGCUCCAGAUCGUUUACUUUGAAAAAAUUAGAGUGUUUAAAGCAGGCUACAAUAUGCCUUUUGAAUAUUUUAGCAUGGGAUAAUAGAAUAGGACUUUAUGCCUAUUUUGUUGGUUUCUAGGUGUAGAGUAAUGAUUAAUAGAGAUAGUUGGGGGUAUUCAUAUUUAAUUGUCAGAGGUGAAAUUCUUGGAUUUAUGAAAGAUGAACUUCUGCGAAAGCAUUUAUCAAGGAUGUUUUCAUUGAUCAAGAACGAAAGUUAGGGGAUCGAAGACGAUCAGAUACCGUCGUAGUCUUAACUAUAAACUUUGCCGACCAGGGAUCGGGAGACGUUACAUGGAUGACUCCCCCAGCACCUUGCGAGAAAUCACAAGUCUUUGGGUUCCGGGGGGAGUAUGGUCGCAAGGCUGAAACUUAAAGGAAUUGACGGAAGGGCACCACCAGGAGUGGAGCCUGCGGCUUAAUUUGACUCAACAAGGGAAAACUCACCGGGUCCAGACAUAGUAAGGAUUGACAGAUUGAGAGCUCUUUCUUGAUUCUAUGGGUGGUGGUGCAUGGCCGUUCUUAGUUGGUGGAGUGAUUUGUCUGGUUAAUUCCGUUAACGAACGAGACCUCAGCCUGCUAAAUAGUUACGUUAACCCUUCUUAAUUCGGGUGAAUCGUUUGUCAUGUAGGGUGGUGAGCAAUCAUUCGUUCUGCAUACUUGCGUGGAUCCUUGAUGGGUUGAUGGAUAUACUUCUUAGAGGGACUAUUAGUAUCUAGCUAAUGGAAGUUUGAGGCAAUAACAGGUCUGUGAUGCCCUUAGAUGUCUCGGGCUGCACGCGCGCUACACUGACGAAUUCAACGAGUUUAACACCUUGGUCGAUGGGCCUGGGUAAUCUUUUGAAAUUUCGUCGUGCUGGGGAUAGAUCAUUGCAAUUAUUGAUCUUCAACGAGGAAUUCCUAGUAAGCGCAAGUCAUCAGCUUGCGUUGAUUACGUCCCUGCCCUUUGUACACACCGCCCGUCGCUCCUACCGAUUGAAUGAUCCGAUGAAAUCUCCGGAUGGUGAUGCAUAACUGUGGGGGCAACCUUACAGUAGUAUCGUCAGAAGUUGCUUAAACCUUAUCAUUUAGAGGAAGGAGAAGUCGUAACAAGGUCUCCGUAGGUGAACCUGC
rnacentral:rRNA from 1 species